rnacentral:rRNA from 1 species
GAAAGCGGCGGACGGGUGAGUAACGCGUGGGUAACCUGCCCCAUACAAAGGGAUAGCCACUAGGAAACGGUGAUUAAUACCUUAUAAGUCGGUAGUCUCGCAUGAGACAGCCGACAAAGAUUUAUCGGUAUGGGAUGGACCCGCGUCUGAUUAGCUAGUUGGUGAGGUAACGGCUCACCAAGGCGACGAUCAGUAGCCGACCUGAGAGGGUGAUCGGCCACACUGGAACUGAGACACGGUCCAGACUCCUACGGGAGGCAGCAGGUGGGGAAUAUUGCACAAUGGGCGCAAGCCUGAUGCAGCAACCGCCGCGUGAGUGAUGAAGGCGUUCGGGUACGUAAAACUCUGUCCUAGUGGGAAGAAAAAAUGACGGUACCAUAGGAGGAAGCCCGGCUAACUACGUG